rnacentral:rRNA from 1 species
UACGGAGGGUGCAAGCGUUAUCCGGAUUCACUGGGUUUAAAGGGUGCGUAGGUGGGAAUGUAAGUCAGUGGUGAAAUCUCCGUGCUUAACAUGGAAACUGCCAUUGAUACUAUGUUUCUUGAAUUUUCUGGAGGUCAGCGGAAUAUGUCAUGUAGCGGUGAAAUGCUUAGAUAUGGCAUAGAACACCUAUUGCGAAGGCAGCUUACUACGCAUAUAUUGACGCUGAGGCACGAAAGCGUGGGGAUCAAACAGG